rnacentral:rRNA from 1 species
UACGUAGGGACCAAGCGUUGUUCGGAUUUACUGGGCGUAAAGGGCGCGUAGGCGGCGUGGUAAGUCAGCUGUGAAAUCUCCGAGCUUAACUCGGAACGGUCAGCUGAUACUGCUGUGCUAGAGUGCAGAAGGGGCAAUCGGAAUUCUUGGUGUAGCGGUGAAAUGCGUAGAUAUCAAGAGGAACAUCAGUGGCGAAGGCGACACCCCUGGACUCAUACUGACACUGAGGUGCGAAAAGCGUGGGGGAGCAAAACAGG